CACUUUUAAUUCACAAGGCUCGAAUCGAUCAUACACUUGCUCAAGAUGCCACUCGAUUCACCAUUUGGUUAUGCCACGUCCGUAAAACAAAGUUAAUUAAGGGUUUAAUAUAUUCCGAUCAUUGUUUACUGAUAUAAAACCGGUCUGCCCCGGUGUAAACAAGACGUUUCAUUGGUCUGUUUUCAGCCAAUCAAAUGUCGGGGUGUCACUUUUGAAUGAAGUGGCAAAAUAUUUAGAGAUUAAAGAAAUUAAGACCAGAAUGGACGAAAAAGAAAGGAUAGCAACAUUGCCUUCUUAUGCUGUGGGUUCAACAGUAUUUGUAGCAGAUCCAGACCAAGUGUGGGUCCCUGGUGUUGUAACACAGGUUUCAGACGACGAUUUUGUUAUCCAGGUUGGACAAAAGGAAGUGGUGGCCAGCAUGAAAGACCUCCUCGCCAAUAUGCAUGAAAUACCACAAUCGUGUGAGAACCUCAUCAAAUUGAGCGUCAUUAAUUCAGCCACUG